CGAAAGCCUGACGGAGCAAGACCGCGUGGGGGAAGAAGGCUCUUGGGUUGUAAACCCCUUUUCUCUGGGAAGAAAGUUGUGAAAGCAACCUGACGGUACCAGAGGAAUCAGCAUCGGCUAACUCCGUGCCAGCAGCCGCGGUAAGACGGAGGAUGCAAGCGUUAUCCGGAAUGAUUGGGCGUAAAGCGUCCGCAGGUGGCAGUUCAAGUCUGCUGUCAAAGACCGGGGCUUAACUUCGGAAAGGCAGUGGAAACUGAACAGCUAGAGUAUGGUAGGGGCAGAGGGAAUUCCUGGUGUAGCGGUGAAAUGCGUAGAUAUCAGGAAGAACACCGGUGGCGAAAGCGCUCUGCUGGGCCGUAACUGACACUCAUGGACGAAAGCUAGGGGAGCG
rnacentral:rRNA from 1 species